UCGCGGCGGCGUGCGCAGAAGGGUCUGGGCUCGAGCCUGCCUGGAGCCGCCGCCGGUGCAGAUCUUGGUGGUAGUAGCAAAUACUCCAGCGAGGCCCUGGAGGACUGAUGUGGAGAAGGGUUUCGUGUGAACAGCCGUUGCACACGAGUCAGUCGAUCCUAAGCCCUAGGAGAAAUCCGACGCCUACGGCGACGGGAAAAAUUUUUCAAAUCGACCCGUUGAUCGGGCGAAAGGGAAUCCGGUUCCUAUUCCGGAACCCGGCAGCGGAACCGCUGUUUGUCGGGCCCUCACAAGGGGUUCGUCAGGGUAACCUAAAAGGGCCCGGAGACGCCGUCGGGAGCCCCGGAAAGAGUUUUCUUUUCUGCAUGAGCGUUCGAGUUCCCUGGAAUCCUCUCGCAGGGAGAUAGGGUUUGGAACGCGAAGAGCACCGCAGUUGCGGCGGUGCCCGGGAAUUCCCGACGGACCUUGAAAAUCCGGGAGAGGGCCACGUGGAGGUGUCGCGCCGGCUCGUACCCAUAUCCGCAGCAGGUCUCCAAGGUGAAGAGCCUCUAGUCGAUAGAAUAAUGUAGGUAAGGGAAGUCGGCAAAUCGGAUCCGUAACUUCGGG
rnacentral:rRNA from 1 species